rnacentral:misc_RNA from 1 species
AACGCACAUUGCGCUCACUAGUAUUCUAGUGAGCAUGCCUGUUCGAGCGUCAUUUCAACCCUUAAGCUCUGCUUAGUGUUGGGAAUCUGCUUAAUCGCAGUUCCUCAAAUCUAGUUGGCGGAGUGCAGUGAACUCUGAGCGCAGUAAUUUAUUUCCUCGCUUUUAAAGUCCGCUGUGCUUUAGCCACUAAACCCCCUAUUUUUUAAUGGUUGACCUCGAAUCAGGUAGGAAUACCCGCUGAACUUAA